CAAUUCCUAAUAAGGUUAUAGUCUUGAAAGAAGUUAAGGGUGAAGUUGUAGUCACUUCAACUUGAAAUGAAAUAAUAAAUGUUUCUUAUUAUGUAUUCUUUCUAAUUUGCAAUUCAAAUGAGGGCUUUUCACUCCUUUUUCAUGCUUCUGGUAUGCGGUUAACGAUUUAAAAAUAAGGAACAAGCAGUCUCACCGGGACUAAAAAACACAAACCAGUCCAAGGCCACCAAAGGGCCCUCUAUACAGCCAGAAAUUCAGCAGCCAGAGGCUGUAUUGAACAGGUCCCGAAACACUAAUGUAUACUAGUUCAGGAAAAUGGACGCCACUCUAUACUCCGAAACAUAGAUAUGAACCAAAAUGAAAAAAAAGUAUACAAGACUAACAAUGGCAAGAGGUUCCUGACUUAGGACUGGUGCAAUAAUGCUGCCGGCUUAAACGUGUUUACUUUUGUGAGAUCUCAACCUUCCCCCUAUAAGCAUGAUAAGUACAUUUUAAUAAACUUUUAAAAAAAAAUACACCUUUAAAUAUCCCUUAUCAAUUAACAAAAGCCCUAUACGUGUAAAAAAAAAUAAUGUUUCAAACAUAUAAAAUUUAUCAAGAGUAGACCGAACGGAAAACUAUAUUUUUUUAAAAGAGACGGAACUGUUAGACCACUUGCGACCUGGGAGUAGAUCAAAUGGGAGUAGACCAACUGGAAUGUUACCAUUUUCAGUACCUGCUAAUA
rnacentral:lncRNA from 1 species